rnacentral:rRNA from 1 species
UGCCAGCCGCCGCGGUAAUACGGAGGGUGCAAGCGUUGUUCGGAAUUACUGGGCGUAAAGCGCGCGUAGGCGGCUAUUUAAGUCAGAUGUGAAAGUCCACGGCUCAACCGUGGAAGUGCAUUUGAAACUGGAUGGCUUGAGUACUGGAGGGGGUGGUGGAAUUCCCGGUGUAGAGGUGAAAUUCGUAGAUAUCGGGAGGAAUACCGGUGGCGAAGGCGACCACCUGGCCAGAUACUGACGCGACACACGAAGGCUAGGGUAGCGAACGGGAUUAGAUA